GGGGAUGUAGCUCAGCUGGGAGAGCGCCUGCUUUGCACGCAGGAGGUCGGCGGUUCGAGCCCGCUCAUCUCCACCA
rnacentral:tRNA from 1 species